rnacentral:tRNA from 1 species
GAGGGGAUAACUCAAGUUAUGGUAGAGCACAUGCUUAGCAUGCAUGAGGUCCUGGGUUCAAUCCCCAGUACCUCUG